rfam:Hordeum vulgare subsp. vulgare, WGS project CAJW01000000 data, contig: morex_contig_48023
CUUAUACUCCCUCCGUCCGAAAAUACUUGUUUUAUAAAUGAAUAUAAUAGAUGUAUCUAUAACUAAAAUAAAUCUAGAUACAUUCAUCUCUAGAACAAGUAUUUCAGGACGGAGGUAGUACAUU